AUACGGAGGUUGCAAGCGUUAUUCGGAAUCACUGGGCGUAAAGGACGCGUAGGCGGGUUGGCAAGUCAGAUGUGAAAUCCUACAGCUUAACUGUAGAACUGCAUUUGAAACUGCUAACCUAGAGUAUGGGAGGGGGAGAUGGAAUUAGUGGUGUAGGGGUAAAAUCCGUAGAUAUCACUAGGAAUACCGAAAGCGAAGGCGAUCUCCUGGAACAUAACUGACGCUAAGGCGUGAAAGCGUGGGGAGCAAACAGGAUUAGAUACCCUAGUAGUCC
rnacentral:rRNA from 1 species